GUUGUGUCAGAUUUCUGAUUUGACCGUCGGAGGGUCUUCACUGGAGUCAACUCCGAUCGGGACUUAUUUUAUAGGAACGUCGCUCUGAUGGUCCUCACCUUACUCAAGCCAUAUCCGUACAUGGUCAAAAAUCUUCCGUAAUAGAUUGGUGCUAGAAGGAGGGCCUAGGCCUACUCUAAGAAAGAGAGGAAAAAACUAUUUAACUACCAUGAUGUUAGAUGUA
rnacentral:lncRNA from 1 species